rnacentral:tRNA from 1 species
AAAAAUUUAGUUAAAAUAUAACAUUAGUUUGUCAAACUAAAAUUAUUUAAAAAUAAUUUUUA